rnacentral:lncRNA from 1 species
GACAGCACAGCUCUUUGGGCCUGUAGAUUCUGUCUGACAGCAACCAACGUUUCUGAGGCCAGCGCUGGGCCAGGCUUGGGGAGGGGGGCGUGGAGGCAGGAACACACAGCCGAGUGUGUGAGGGAGGUUGAGGCCCCAGUUGCCUCUGACGCCACAGGAAAUGGGGGGGCUGUCACAGGAGUUCACUUCGAGAGCAGCCCAGGGAAGCAGGUGCUCGUGAGCGUCUGCUUUGGGCAGCCUGUCUAAUCUCUUCAGAACUCAGUUUCCACUUCUGUGAAAUGGGUUGCUAAUGCCUGCCUCGGAAGACGGUUGUCAGGCCGCGUGGUUUUUAGGAUGGGAAGAGCACAGGAUCAAGCACAUCGCAGAUGGUCUGGAGACGCGGAACCUGCUGGGCACAUGGAGCAAAAAACGAAGUGCUCUGGACACUUUCUUUACAUGUGAAGUGAAUGCUUUCCCUCUAUUUCAUAUGUACACAGAAGCUCUCAAACCCCUGAUGAGGACGUGUGCCCAAGACCUCGGCUCCUGUAUCUUUGUUCUCCAGCAUCUGUUGCUGCUCGACACAGAGGAGGAGGUAUGGAACACAUGUGGAAAAAAUGAAUGAAUGCGCCCUUCCUAUAGCAUCCCUCAUAUCUGUCUCUCCCGUCAUACUAUGAGGUCAAGCACCAACCCUGUUUGUUUCUAGCGUCUCUGAGUCUGGCGUAGCGCUCAGCACAAAGGCGAUAGUCGGUAUGUUUUUACUGAGUAGAUGGAUGAUGGACAGAUGGAUGAUGCUUGAAUGUAUGGAUCAGCGAAGAAGUGAAUGGAAGGCAGGAUCAGUUCAGUUCAGUUCAGUCUCUCAGUCGUGUCCGACUCCUUGCGACCCCAUGAAUCACAGCACGCCGGGCCUCCCUGUCCAUCACCAACUCCCGGAGUUCACUCAAACUCACGUCCAUUGAGUCGGUGAUGCCAUCCAGCCAUCUCAUCCUCUGUUGUCCCCUUCUCCUCCUGCCCCCAAUCCCUCCCAGCAUCAGAGUCUUUUCCAAUGAGUCAACUCUUCGCAUCAGGUG